rnacentral:rRNA from 1 species
AGGAUAAACGCUGGCGGCGUGCCUAACACAUGCAAGUCGAACGCCCUUUUUCUUCGCAAGAGGGGGGAGGGAGUGGCGGACGGGUGAGGAACACAUGGGUGACCUACCUUUCAGUGAGGAAUACCGGCGAGAAAUCGCCGACAAGACCGCAUGAGCUUCUCUCGGUGAGCGAGGGAAGGAAAGCUCUCUUUUGUGAGAACGAAGGGGGGCGCUGGAAGAUGGGCCUGUGGCCGAUUAGCUAGUUGGUGAGGUAACGGCUCACCAAGGCGACGAUCGGUAGCUGGUCUGAGAGGACGAUCAGCCACACUGGGAUUGAGAACGGCCCAGACUCCUACGGGGGGCAGCAGUGAGGAAUUUUCCGCAAUGGGCGCAAGCCUGACGGAGCAACGCCGCGUGCAGGAAGACGGUUUUCGGAUCGUAAACUGCUUUUCUCGGGGACGAGAACGGACGGUACCCGAGGAACUCAGCCCCGGCUAACUACGCGCCAGCAGCCGCGGU